UACGGGAGGCAGCAGUGGGGAAUAUUGCACAAUGGGCGCAAGCCUGAUGCAGCCAUGCCGCGUGUAUGAAGAAGGCCUUCGGGUUGUAAAGUACUUUCAGCAGUGAGGAAGGUGGGUAUGUUAAUAGCAUACUCAUUUGACGUUAGCUGCAGAAGAAGCACCGGCUAACUCCGUGCCAGCAGCCGCGGUAAUACGGAGGGUGCGAGCGUUAAUCGGAAUUACUGGGCGUAAAGCGCAUGCAGGUGGUUUGUUAAGUCAGAUGUGAAAGCCCGGGGCUCAACCUCGGAAUUGCAUUUGAAACUGGCAAACUAGAGUACUGUAGAGGGGGUAGAAUUUCAGGUGUAGCGGUGAAAUGCGUAGAGAUCUGAAGGAAUACCGGUGGCGAAGGCGGCCCCCUGGACAGAUACUGACACUCAGAUGCGAAAGCGUGGGGAGCAAACAGGAUUAGACACCCUGGUAG
rnacentral:rRNA from 1 species